ensembl:lncRNA
AUGGAGUCGACCGAGGAGGAUGGUUCAGAUUUAGGUGAACUAGAUCGAUUUUAACUUGUCUAGGUGGGCGAUUUGUUGAAGAAAUAACCAAGAAGCAGCCGGGUGUGGAAUCAGAGGAACCAGAGGAACCAGAGAACCUGUGUCUUACGGUCGCUGAGUUUAAUGACAACCAGUUGGUUUCCAAAAGGAACGGUGGAAAGACUGGGGAGCUAUUUCCUGCUGAAGAGAAAGAUGAGCUUCCCAAGAGUGUUCCUGACUCGUGGAUAAAGGAAGCGAAGUCCAGUGAGAAGGAAGCAUGGGGCCCCCCGGAGCCUGUGGUCACACCAGUAUUUGAGGAGUCCCCUCCAGAAGCUGCUGGUCUGCUGCCGCUGAAGGAUGGCCACCUUCUCACUAAAAUGGAUCCGGUUGAAAGAAGGAGUGAAGCAGAGCCCAGGGAGCCUGGGCCACAGGCCGAGUGACGUCUCACCGGGAGACUCUAGAGCUGCCACAGCUGCCACAGCUGCCACCAGCAUCACCCUAGCCCUACAGCAAGGAUGUGAACCUGCAGCCUCCACUGCCCAUCCCCGACAGAAACUCAAGUUAAUGAAACGGAAGAAGGCAGCCAUGGAUGUGAGCCUUGUGCGACAGCCUCAGGCCGGGGUGAGUUGCCCAGCCCUUGCCAUGCAUGAGUCCAUCGCCGCCAAGCGAAGCACCUUGGAAGGGAGUGUGCAAGGGGGUCUGCGUGAGCAGGAGGCCUCUGCUGUAUGUGGGCCCUAGGUUUGUGUCCCGCAGGUUCUGAGCCCACAAGAGAUGCCCUCCUUACCAUACUAGACAGAGAACCACUUCAAACUCCCAGCCAAAGAGCUUUUGCGGACGCCUGCCGUGCCCUGUGUGAGAGGCACCUAAGGCGCAGUUCAUCUUGCCUUAGAACUUUACCUCCUCAAACCUUGAUCCACUCUGUCACUAGAACGAUCUGUUUUCAGAUUUCCCCUGGGUAUCACUUCCCACUGCUAAACACUUGCCCUCCCUGGCUCCUCUAGCUUUUCAUGGGUCUCUCUUCUGUCCACUACCCCUUUGACAAGUGUUGUUAUUGUAACAGAACCUUGUGUUUUCGAUUAACUCCGCUGAGGUUUUCUUGACCAAAAUAAAUUACACAUAUGUAAAAUGUGCCACGUGCCUAGGUGUCUGCAUGUUUAAACACACAUUUCCCACCAUGUCAACAUGGGUAUCAAUGAAUCUUCCCUUCACAGAUGUUUCCUCAGUUGUCUUAGUCCCCUACUAAGAAGCUACCAGUUCAUUCUGCAAAGUACUUGUAUUGUCCCCACUCGCGUCACCACUGCAUGAGAGUUACAAGGGCCAGUGCCUCUGUGUUUUUACAUAGUAGUAUCACCGGCCCUUUUCAUGUCUACCGUUCUAGUAAGUGGCUAUUAUGUCUUUCAAAAACCAAUAUUUUUCAUAAUUCUUUAGAACUUCAUAUGAUGUAUUUUGGUCGUGUGACCCACCCUUCCCAAGCUCCUCCCAUAACCAUCCUCCCUUCAUUUCCCUCCAGCUUUGAGUCCUCCCCCUACCUCACAGAGUCCAGAGCCUUGCUCUAUUAGUCUGAGGGGUGGGGCCUGCCCUGGCAUGCGGACAACAUUACCAGGAUCCCAUCGUUACAGAAAACCGACUCUUCUGUC